UGUGAACUGCAGGACACAUGAACAUCGACAUUUCGAACGCACAUUGCGGUCCACGGAUACAAUUCCCGGACCACGCCUGGCUGAGGGUCGUUUCUAAAUUAAAGACUGCUUAUCCAUUUUAAGUACACAUCAAUUGUGUAUAUUAUUUUGGAUUCAAGCGAAAGAAUGAAUGCUCGUUAAACUUUUAAUAGUUUGGCGUCAUUUGAAAUAAGUUGAAUACAUAUAAAUUUAUGAAUUGAUAACCAUCAAAAAAUAUUGAACGUAGCCACGUGUCAACUGAACAUGGUGUGUGUUUAAUCAUUGAAUGGUUGUCGAGUCAAUGGAGCACUAAAUAAUGAUAAAGAGCACCGACCGACAAUCUCAUUGAUGCAUUUGAAUGAAAUAAUAAUAAUAAUAAUAUUGAAAUAAACAAACACACACAAUGAAACAUGUCGUUGUACACAAAUAAGUGGUAUUGAAAAAGGGAAUGAUGAGUUAUCAUUUUUAUAUUUUAUUAUUGAUGACGACCUCAGAUUAGGCGAGACUACCCCCUAAAUUUAAGCAUAA
rnacentral:rRNA from 1 species